AGUCGUGGCUUUCUGGUUAAAUACCGUCAAUAUCUGAACAGUUACUCUCAGAUAUGUUCUUCUUUAACAACAGAGUUUUACGAGCCGAAACCCUUCUUCACUCACGCGGCGUUGCUCCAUCAGACUUUCGUCCAUUGUGGAAGAUUCCCUACUGCUGCCUCCCGUAGGAGUAGGGNGGGC
rnacentral:rRNA from 1 species